rnacentral:rRNA from 1 species
UACGUAGGGGGCAAGCGUUGUCCGGAUUUAUUGGGCGUAAAGAGCUCGUAGGCGGUUUGGUAAGUCUGGUGUGAAAUCUCCACGCUCAACGUGGAGGGGCCACCCGAUACUGCCAUGACUGGAGUCCGGUAGAGGAGUGUGGAAUUCCCGGUGUAGCGGUGAAAUGCGCAGAUAUCGGGAGGAACACCCGUAGCGAAGGCGGCACUCUGGUACGUGACUGACACUGAGACGCGAAAGCGUGGGGAGCGAACAGG